AUUGAACGCUGGCGGCAUGCCUUACACAUGCAAGUCGAACGGUAGCGGGCCUUCGGGUGCCGACGAGUGGCGAACGGGUGAGUAAUGCAUCGGAACGUGCCAUUGAGUGGGGGAUAACGUAGCGAAAGUUACGCUAAUACCGCAUAUUCUGUGAGCAGGAAAGCAGGGGACCGCAAGGCCUUGCGCUCUUUGAGCGGCCGAUGUCAGAUUAGCUAGUUGGUGAGGUAAAGGCUUGCCAAGGCGACGAUCUGUAGCGGGUCUGAGAGGAUGAUCCGCCACACUGGAACUGAGACACGGUCCAGACUCCUACGGGAGGCAGCAGUGGGGAAUUUUGGACAAUGGGGGCAACCCUGAUCCAGCCAUGCCGCGUGAGUGAAGAAGGCC
rnacentral:rRNA from 1 species